rnacentral:rRNA from 1 species
AAUGCCUAGGAAUCUGCCUAGUGGUGGGGGAUAACGUUCGGAAACGGACGCUAAUACCGCAUACGUCCUACGGGAGAAAGCGGGGGAUCUUCGGACCUCGCGCCAUUAGAUGAGCCUAGGUCGGAUUAGCUAGUUGGUGAGGUAAUGGCUCACCAAGGCGACGAUCCGUAACUGGUCUGAGAGGAUGAUCAGUCACACUGGAACUGAGACACGGUCCAGACUCCUACGGGAGGCAGCAGUGGGGAAUAUUGGACAAUGGGCGAAAGCCUGAUCCAGCCAUGCCGCGUGUGUGAAGAAGGUCUUCGGAUUGUAAAGCACUUUAAGUUGGGAGGAAGGGUAGUAACCUAAUACGUUGCUACUUUGACGUUACCGACAGAAUAAGCACCGGCUAACUUCGUGCCAGCAGCCGCGGUAAUACGAAGGGUGCAAGCGUUAAUCGGAAUUACUGGGCGUAAAGCGCGCGUAGGUGGUUCAGCAAGUUGGAUGUGAAAGCCCUGGGCUCAACCUGAGAACUGCAUCCAAAACUACUGAGCUAGAGUACGGUAGAGGGUAGUGGAAUUUCCUGUGUAGCGGUGAAAUGCGUAGAUAUAGGAAGG